UACGUAGGGGGCAAGCGUUGUCCGGAUUUAUUGGGCGUAAAGAGCUCGUAGGCGGUUCGGUAAGUCGGGUGUGAAACCUCCAGGCUCAACCUGGAGUCGCCACUCGAUACUGCUGUGACUAGAGUCCGGUAGGGGAGCGUGGAAUUCCUGGUGUAGCGGUGAAAUGCGCAGAUAUCAGGAGGAACACCAGCGGCGAAGGCGGCGCUCUGGGCCGGAACUGACGCUGAGGAGCGAAAGCGUGGGUAGCAAACAGG
rnacentral:rRNA from 1 species